UGGGGAAUCUUGGGCAAUGGGCGAAAGCCUGACCCAGCGACGCCGCGUGAAGGAUGAAGGUCUUCGGAUUGUAAACUUCUGUGAGGGCAGAAAAAGGGUGUACGGCCUAAUACUCCGUGCAUUUGAUAGUAUGCCCAGAGGAAGCCCCGGCUAACUCCGUGCCAGCAGCCGCGGUAAUACGGAGGGGGCAAGCGUUGUUCGGAAUUACUGGGCGUAAAGGGCGCGGAGGCGGCUUGGUAAGUCGGUGGUGAAAUCCCGCGGCUCAACUGCGGAAUUGCCAUCGAUACUGCCGGGCUUGAAUCCGGGAGAGGUCGGCGGAAUUACUGGUGUAGCGGUGAAAUGCGUAGAUAUCAGUAGGAACACCGAUGGCGAAGGCAGCUGGCUGGACCGGAAUUGACGCUGAGGCGCGAAAGCGUGGGUAGCAAA
rnacentral:rRNA from 1 species